CCUACGGGAGGCAGCAGUGGGGAAUAUUGCACAAUGGGGGAAACCCUGAUGCAGCGACGCCGCGUGAGUGAAGAAGUAAUUCGUUACGUAAAGCUCUAUCAGCAGGGAAGAAAUACUGACCUUACGGUCAGCAGACGGUACCUGAGUAAGAAGCCCCGGCUAACUACGUGCCAGCAGCCGCGGUAAUACGGAGGGGGCAAGCGUUAUCCGGAUUUACUGGGUGUAAAGGGAGCGUAGGCGGUGCGCCAAGUCUGGAGUGAAAUGCCGCAGCUUAACUGCGGAACUGCUUUGGAAACUGGCGAACUAGAGUGCGGGAGGGGUAAGCGGAAUUCCUAGUGUAGCGGUGAAAUGCGUAGAUAUUAGGAAGAACACCGGUGGCGAAGGCGGCUUACUGGACCGUAACUGACGUUGAGGCUCGAAAGCGUGGGGAGCAAACAGGAUUAGAUACCCUAGUAGUC
rnacentral:rRNA from 1 species